GCCUGGGUAGCUCAGUGGGUUGAGCGUCCGACUUCAGCUCAGGUCAUGAUCUCACAGUUGGUGGGUUCGAGCCCCGUGUCAGGCU
rnacentral:tRNA from 1 species